AGGUGUGAGGGAAAUCUGGCUGCAAUGUCUGUCAUUCCAUUGAUCACCAGGGUUGAGUUGGUCAAUCUAGCUUGCUAGGUGGGUGUCUCUUUACUCCCUCACUACUCUGUGAGUGUUCUUCCCGAAACUGCACACUUGGUCAAAGAAGAUGACCUUCCCUGAAAGAGCAGGACUUUCUGAAAGAGUAGAGGGUAUAGUUCUGCUAGAACCUCCAAACAAGCUCUCCAAGUCCAUUUGUAGGGGAACAUAUGGUAGUGAAGCUUCUAAGACUCCAGACGUAUACAGAUGAGGUGCUGCAUGUGGCAGUCUGCCUUUAUUA
rnacentral:snRNA from 1 species